GUUAUAGAAAAAUGUAUUGCUAGCGAAAGGAGGGUCAAGUCUAUUUUGAUUCUAGAUACCAAACUCAUCUGGUAGCCCCUCAAAUACAAAACGAACAGUCCCUAAGAAAAAAAAUGGUAGUUCGUAGCGUCAAGGCACAAUCCAGCUAUUUUGUGAUUAAAGGAAGAUUGUGAGCAGCUGGGAGAGACUCCGACUGAGUGAGAGACAGGAGCAUGGACAUGUGUUGCUGAGAGUGACUGCAGCUUUCCUCUUUCCACAUCAAGUCGUGUUAAUGUUAUGUCCGCUUGAAUGUCUACAAAUGAAGCGGCGCCCGGAGUUGAGGACCACGGCAGGCCAUUUCAUCCUUCAUUUCAGCCUGGCGAACCGAGUAUUUACUGAAGAUUAAAUCGCACAGCUAACCAAGCUCUGGAGCUCCUAGACACGUAACGUUAUCUCCUCCAUCUCCCUUGGUUACCUCCAGUCAGCUGGCUUCACCAUUCGGUCCCCUCCUCAGGGCUCCCUGUUCCACCCUGCCUCCACUCCUGUGUCCAGACAUUCCUCCCUCGGCUCCCCUGGCCCCGGUUUCCCCGCGCUCCCCUAGGUUCACCGUCCUAUUUCCCAUUAUCUCCCUCACCAUCCUAUUCCCCACUAGCUCCCUUGCCAUCCUACCCCCAGUCCCAGAAAGCCCUCACUCCUACCCUCGGCGUCUGCCUCCCCACUCCUAUCUAGUUUCUGUUUUCCUAAUAAAUCUGUGUUUUGCUGA